CAAAUUUCUUAUUUAACAAAUUAAAACGUUACAUUUUACAAAUAACCUAAUCCCCGUGUCUAUUAAUAAAUCCAGUGUAACCGUGACGUUAAUUUUUUAUGGAAUUUUCUAUUUUAAAAGCGGGUAAUAGGUAUGACUAGGCAGGCCACUGACGACACACAACGAGGUUACCGUGACUCGUGUAGACGUAACGCAUAUAGGUUCUACUCGUCUAGGAUCGGUACGUAGACGAACCGCGUACCGUGGAUUCCCGGCUUUGCUAACUAUUUUUGAACAGCCGCAAGUUAAAAAAGCUGCACCUACCGAGAUUAGGUGAGUCGGACCGUUCUCAUGGAACUCGUAGAGCGACGAAGUGAUACUAGACUCGCCAAGUCUACCGACAAUACGCACUUUUACACUUUAAACAUAAUUAAAUAGUUUAUUUUACCG